UGACAUGUCUGCGUGUGUAUGUGUCAGUGUGUGCGCGCAUACUUGUGGAUGCUGAGGGCCUUAGAAUUGUUUCCCUUAUCUUUUCUUACCACUGUUUUUGGUACCAACCCACUGUGAUGACCUUCCUUCAAGCAGGCAUGCCUAAGGGAAGCAAGACAUGCACUAUUAGCUACAACCAGUAAAAGCCGUAGGUAGGACUCAAGAGAUUAUGUGCAGUCAUGUUGUUGUUGUUGUUGUUGUUGUGGGGAUGUGGAAUUUGCAACAACAAAGACUUAUUUAGUGCGUUUGCUUUAGUAUAUUUUUAAAAAAUAUCUGGCUUCUGCUUUCUAACUUUGUGCUUUUAACCUUAUAAUUUUCAUCUGAGGCCAAAAAUAGUGAUUCACUCUCAUGUCUGGUUUCUUUGGCUGGUUAUGAGGUCUAGAGGCAAUUCAAGAUUUUCAUUUUUAUCACUCUACAUAAAAAUCUGAUUAGCAAGUACUUUUCAGUGAUCUCAUUGUCUUUCAGAAUCACCUCUGCUUUCUUACAUUUAAAAUUAUGCUCUAACUUUUAAAGGAGACUGCCUUUUUUCAGGCCUCUUUAAAAGUUCUUCCUGGUCUACUGAUGGGAAGUUCCCAGGAAAUUUUUUUUCUUUUCUUCUGAUUGACUAAAGAAACGAGUGAGACUUUCUGAUGUGUGUGUUGAUCCUAAGAUUUGUUGUCUAACUCAGAAGUCAUAAAUAAGACCCAGAGAGUGUUUCUUUUCUUUUUUAAUUUGAGCUAAGUCUCCAAUUAAUUAUUUGUCAGAUGUGGUAGCAUCAGAUCUGCAGUAACUGAACUUGAGUAAAAGCUGAUUCUUUAGAAGGCUUGUGAGCUUCUCUGCCAGAGAGCCUGCCGAUUGUUCAUUGUACACACAGCCACUUACAUAGGUUGCUUCGUUUAUGUAGGAUAUUUUCCUGGUCUGUGUACAGAUGUGUUUGCAACCCUAGACUUAAUUGUUAAACUGUGACUCUGUUUCCAAAAGUGUACAAUUGAGAAAUCAAUUAGUAUAAACCUGUAUAUUUGAAGGAGAUUAUAACCUUUUAUUCCUAUAUUUUAGAUGGUUCAGCACCAGAAAAGAAAACUGCCGUUUAUUUAUGAAUGUGAAUAUAAACAUUUAAAAUAAAAAUAUUAACCAUGUAUUACUAGACCAUGAAGUGUUUAGUCAAGCAUUACAAGAAACAUUAACACAAGAAAUAUAUCAUUCAUUAUAAUGUAUGAUAAUUAUAUUAUAAUGUAAUUCAUUAUAUUCACAGAUGAAAAGAGGAAAAUAAGCCUGAUCAUUUUAAUAGAUGUUAAAAAGGAAUUUGAUAAAAUGUAAUAUCUAUUCAUGAUUUUUAAAAAACAAAAAAAAAUCUUACAUUUGUAUAGAAGAAAAUUUAGUUAAUUCCAGAAAAACAUCUACUAGGAUCCCGAACUGAUAGCACAUUUAAUGGUGAAAUGACAGGUGUGUUCCCAUUAGGUUCAAAAGUAAGAUGAGGAAUCCCGCUGUUGUCAGGAUUCAGUGUUGUGUGGGAAGUCUUAGCUAGUGCAAUCAAAUAAGAAAAGAAUGAAUAUGUAUAAAUAUUGGCAAGAAGGAAAAAACCUCAUUGAAUGGGAUGCGUAGUCUGUCUAGAAAAAGAAUAAAAUCAAUUAGCAACAUCUUAAAACCGUGCUUAGCAAGGUGACCAGAGAACUCCAAUGGAUAGUGAGUACCUCAGUCAUGCUUAUGUAACAUGCAGUGAAGCUUUAGUAAAAACCCUUGAACAAUAUGAAGAGUGAGAUCCAGUGGCUGUGCUGGGAGGGUGGUGUGUCCAGAGAGGACAAUGAAACUCUGCAUCUCCCCUCCCCACUUCCUUGCCCUGCCCUAUGCAUCUCUUCCAUUUAGCUGUCCCUGAAUCGUAUCCUUUAUAGUAACAGUGUAUUCAGAAGUACAGUAGUUUACUAAAUUCUCUGAGUCAUUCUAGUGAAUUAUCAAACCUGGAAGGGAGGAGUUGUGGGAACCUCUGAAAAGGUAGUUAGCUGGGCAGAUGUGUGCGUGUCUAGAGACCCUGUUUGCAGCUGGUGUCUGAAGUUGGGCCAGUCUGACGGGACUGAGCCCUUGAUCUAUGGGAUGUGUUCUAACUCCAGGUAGUUUGUAUCAGAAUUGAAAUGAAUUUUAGGACUGCCAGGUGGUGUUCAGAGGAUUGGAGAAUUGGUUGUUGUUGGAAAGACACAAUAGUGGCUCACAAAAAAUAAUCAGUAAAAAGUCUUGCAGAAGAAAAAUAUGUUAAAUUGACAGUCAUCAUACAGUCUUCAUCAAGGUCACUUGUGAGCACAGAGCAGAGCAUGUUUUUUAUUUUUGAGAGGUAUGAUCCCAGAAACUUACUUAUUUCAUGAAAGUAACCCUGUCCCACAUAAAAGAUUAUAGCCAUAUACUUCUGAAGAAGUAAGUCAGGACUUACUAGCAUGUAAGGGCUGAGGAGGAUACAUGGUAAAGAAGAAAGGGAAUUAUCAUAAUGAGAACAUUUAAUUGUUAUUUAAAACGCUGUAAUAUUCUGUAAAUAUUUCUGGAAUAAACAGAAUAUAUGCGCAUGAGCAUAUCCAUCUUCACACACGUAUGGAUGCACACGCAUAUAUCCUGUGCCUGUGCAUAUAUUCUGGAAAGACUCAGAGGAGACGCAGUAGCAGCUGGAGUGGGAGGGCGGGAGACAAUAAAAGUAGGAAUCACUAAGACACAUCUUUUGUGUAUCCUUAUAUACUAUUUGACUUCCCUCCCUCUUUAUCAUGUGCAGAUGUUACCUUAAAAUUAAAUAAAAUAGAGACAAAUUAAAGCCUUAUUGUCAUUCAUAUUUUACAAAUGAGGAUACUGGAGUUCUAAGUGGUUUAGGGUUUAUUUAUAAAAACUGUUCGACAGAUCUUCUUCCAGAGCCCCUGCUAUAGUUUCAGGCAUUAAAAUCAUAAAUCAUUCAUAUCAGAGAUCUGGACCAUCAAGGAAGCAUAUAUAUUUUAGAUAACAAACAGCAACAUGAAGUUCUGAGAUCUUUUUAGGACAUUAGGAGAACUUAUGAUUCAUGAGACUGUUCUCUCAGCCCAAUGAAGAGAAAAUGAAACUGCAUCAUCCCACGCGCUUAUAGAAUAUUAAUUGUUCAUGAUAAAUAGCUUGGCUUUGGUUCCGGUGCAUGGAAUCCUGAAGAGAAAGAUCUGGUGUUUUUCACGUAGCGUUUUGCUAGUCUGACAUGUUUGGAAUGGGAUGAGGGGUCUUGCUUGCCUUUCCUGAGGACAGGGAAUACUUCCCUACACUUAAACUGGUCUGUCCUGUUUGCAUAAAAUGGAAUAGAGUGCCAGAUGCUGUGCUUAAAGUGUUUGUGUUUGAUUUUUUUCUUUCUUUUUUUUUUUUUUUUUUGAUGAUAAGAUCAGAUAAAAGCAAAAGUAGCUGUAUUAAUUAUAGCAUGCAGCAGGUGAACCAAAAAUUGUGUAGGUGGCAUAUUUCCAUCCCUAGAGUAUUUUAUGACAGCUAUAAACCUAUAAAAGGACUGAUUUGCAAAGGAAACACUGACAGGCUUUCAGAAUAGCAGGGCAAAUGACACCACAAAGAUUACAACUAUAUGACAUGUUUUCUUCUCGUAAGAUUUAAAGGUUUC
rnacentral:lncRNA from 1 species